rnacentral:rRNA from 1 species
AGAGUUUGAUCCUGGCUCAGGAAGAACGCUAGCGGGAGGCUUAAUACAUGCAAGUCGAGCGGCAAGUUUUGAUAGCAAUAUUGGAACCUAGAGCGGCGCACGGGUGAGUAACGCGUACAUGACCUGCCCUAUACUGGGGGAUAGUCUUGGGAAACUGAGAAUAAUCCCGCAUGUGAUUAGAAUGCUGCAUGGCAAAUUAAUUAAAGCUGAGGCGGUAUAGGAUGGGUGUGCGUCUGAUUAGCUAGUUGGUAGUGUAACGGACUACCAAGGCGAUGAUCAGUAGGGGGCGUGAGAGCGUGACCCCCCACACGGGUACUGAGACACGGACCCGACUCCUACGGGAGGCAGCAGUAAGGAGUAUUGGUCAAUGGAGGGAACUCUGAACCAGCCAUCCCGCGUGAAGGAUGAAGGGGCUCUGCCUUGUAAACUUCUUUUGCAUGGGACGAAAAAACUUAAUUUAUUAAGGACUGACGGUACCAUGAGAAUAAGCACCGGCUAACUCCGUGCCAGCAGCCGCGGUAAUACGGAGGGUGCGAGCGUUAUCCGGAAUCACUGGGUUUAAAGGGUGCGUAGGCGGUUUGAUAAGUCAGUGGUGAAAAGGCCGUCGCUUAACGAUGGGACUGCCAUUGAUACUGUUAGACUUGAAUCAGGAUGAGGUUGGCGGAAUGUGGCAUGGUACCGGUGA